UAUUAGCUACUCCUUUAGCAGGUUGGUUUGUCAGGACGGAGAACUAAAGAUAAACUCUAUGAUUGCUAGUCUCAUCUUCUCCGAACUCAGUUCGACCUCAGUGUUCAACUUAACCCUGUGUGAGUAUACUGUGAUACUACCGGAUUUCAAGAUCGGAGAAAUUAUCUCUCUGGUUCAGGACGUGCUCCGGUUAACUCCAGGUUCUGAUGUAGAGUCAAACGGAUACACCAGUGUUGUUGAGCACCUUGAGCAGGAUAAAGAUGAGUAAGAAAGUUUAAAAGAAAGUUCAGAUAAUCUCCCGCCUUAAAGAUGUAAUUCAAAUAUGAAGAAAUCCAUGAAGUUUUAACAAAGGUUCGACUGAGGACGUAUCUAACAUGUACAUUGUACAAGUCUGGAGUUAUCUCUGAUUGACCUGGAAACCUGACCGAGAUGUUCAAGUCUGGAGAUAUCUCUGAUUUA